CACACAGUCUUGCCAACAGCAGGUGCUGUGUUCAGUUACUACAGGUGACCAUGUUGGAAUGUGCUGACCUUGCCUUUGUCUGUUGAGUCUUAUGAAGUAUCUCCAGGGGUUUUUAAGGCCAGACAAGAAAAUGCUGUGAAGGCACAUGAAAGAGAAGUCUGUGCAGGGAUCCCCAACACAAACCAGAGAAAAUUUUCUGUAUCUAAAGGCUAUCUGCUUUGUUGCUUCUGGACAAAAGUCUGAGAGGAAGGGGAAGCAUGUGCUGCCUUCCAAAUGGAAAGGACCGUCGCAUCAGACUCUUGCGGGCAUGAGGUCCUUGUUGGUGGAGCUCUUCCCCAGCCAUGAGAAAAGAAACGGAUGACAAAGUCUUCUGAAAUGGAACUCUUCACUGCUAUCUGACUCUUCUAGAAGAUCUUCAUUUUUAGAAGAUUUUGUGUUUCAUCCAGAAAUCAAAUGUAAUUAUGUUGUACUUGGAAAUAUUUGAUUCAUAUCGGGUAUGAAAUAUUAAAGAUGAAAAAUGACUGGAAAGAUGAUGAAAAGAACUACUUAAACAUUAUGAAUAAGACAAAAUGCCUUAUUUGAAUUCAGUCAACACAGAUUGAGCCUUUUCAGCACUAGUUAAUGAGCCUACCUAGAUGAGGAAGACCCUGACCUUAUGGAUCCUUCAGCCCAGUGAGGUGGUCACACCACCCAAUGCAGUAUAAAAAAUAUGUAAUGGGGGGGGUCUGGCCCCGUGGCCGAGUGGUUGGGUUCACGCGCUCCGCUGCAGGCGGCCCAGUGUUUCGUCAGUUCGAAUCCUGGGCGCGGACAUGACACUGCUCGUCGAACCACGCUGGGGUGGCGUCCCACAUACCACAACUAGAAGGA
rnacentral:lncRNA from 1 species